CGCCGGUCGUGUUUCUCAUUUGUAUUUUCAUAAAAUUUUAUGAAAACGACAGCUAUAGGCGUUUGUGUUUUAAAUAAUAUCUUGUGAUUUCAAUUUCUGCGAAACUUGUUGUUAAUGUGUCUAAAUGUUUUACAAUUUAGUGUUUUAUUAAUUAAUUCAUUAGUGUUUUAUAAAUAUGGGUGCGAAAGUUUCUAGAGACGACUUCGAAUGGGUUCACACAGAGGAGCCGCAUGCUAGUCGCCGAAAGAUCAUCCUAGAGAAGUACCCGCAAAUCAAGCAGCUGUAUGGCUACGACCCGAUGUUCAAGUGGCAGGUGACGGGCAUGGUGCUGACGCAGCUGGCGAUGCUGCCCGUGGUGCAGCACAUGAGCUGGCCGGUGCUCAUACUGGUGGCGUACUGCUUCGGUGGAGUCAUCAACCAUUCGCUUAUGCUGGCAAUCCACGAAAUAGCUCACAACUUAGCCUUCGGUCACAACCGGCCGCUGCACAACAGACUGUUUGGGUUCUUCGCCAACCUGCCCAUAGGCAUCCCUAUAUCGAUCAGCUUCAGAAAGUAUCACUUGGAACACCAUAGGUACCAAGGCGACGAGGUGAUCGACGUGGACUUGCCGACGCUGGUGGAAGCGAAGCUGUUCUGCACAACGGGCGGCAAGCUGCUGUGGCUGUUCCUGCAGCCGUUCUUCUAUUCGCUGCGACCGCUGGUGGUCAGGCCCAAGCCGCCCUCGCCCAUGGAGCUCACCAACUUGAUCAUACAGCUGUUCUUCGACGCCGUAGUCAUCAAAGUUUUUGGUGGCAAAGUUUUAGGAUAUUUGCUGAUUGGAUCCCUACUGUCGAUGGGCAUACAUCCUGUAGCAGGGCACUUCAUAUCGGAGCACUACAUGUUCCGCAAGGGUUUCGAGACGUACUCGUACUACGGGCCGCUCAACUGGAUCACCUUCAACGUGGGCUACCACAACGAGCACCACGACUUCCCCGCGGUGCCCGGCAGCAGACUGCCCGAGGUGAAGCGCAUAGCCCCCGAGUUCUACGACGACCUACCGCAGCACCACAGCUGGUCGGCGGUGCUGUGGGACUUCGUCAUGGACCCCGAUAUCGGACCCUACGCGCGCAUCAAGCGCAAGCACUUCGGCCUCGAGAGCUAAUGUAUACCCUGCGAUACGAUAUGUCGUUCUGGUUUGCAUUUAUUGUUGCGCCCUGCUACACGUAACGAUAAAACGGCACAGUUCAGUCACAAAACUAAGUGAUAUCUGGCGGUCAAACUGUGCAGUUAUGUCUUUGUAUGUAGCGGGCAUACUGUUUUGUGUUAUAUUACAAUAAAAAAGAUAAAUUGUACCAUCAGAGAAGUUGAUUCCUAGGCAGAUGGGAGACUUA